AUUGAACGCUGGCGGCAGGCCUAACACAUGCAAGUCGAGCGAGCGGCGGACGGGUGAGUAAUGUCUGGGAAACUGCCUGAUGGAGGGGGAUAACUACUGGAAACGGUAGCUAAUACCGCAUACCAUCAGAUGUGCCCAGGUGGGAUUAGCUGGUAGGUGGGGUAACGGCUCACCUAGGCGACGAUCCAUAGCUGGUCUGAGAGGAUGACCAGCCACACUGGAACUGAGACACGGUACAGACUCCUACAGGAGGCAGCAGUGGGGAAUAUUGCACAAUGGGCGCAAGCCUGAUGCAGCCAUGCCGCGUGUGUGAAGAAGGCCUUCGGGUUGUAAAGUACUUUCAGCGGGGAGGCGUUACCCGCAGAAGAAGCACCGGCUAACUCCGUGCCAGCCGCCGCGGUAAUUC
rnacentral:rRNA from 1 species